UACGGAGGAUCCAAGCGUUAUCCGGAAUCAUUGGGUUUAAAGGGUCCGUAGGCGGUUUGGUAAGUCAGUGGUGAAAGCCCAUCGCUCAACGGUGGAACGGCCAUUGAUACUGCCAGACUGAAUUAUUAGGAAGUAACUAGAAUAUGUAGUGUAGCGGUGAAAUGCUUAGAGAUUACAUGGAAUACCAAUUGCGAAGGCAGGUUACUACUAAUGGAUUGACGCUGAUGGACGAAAGCGUGGGUAGCGAACAGG
rnacentral:rRNA from 1 species